rnacentral:lncRNA from 1 species
UGAUGAGGUUGAUGCACAUGGAUUGGUGAAGGAAUUCAUCUCGUGUGUUAAUUAGUAUUGUAUUGUACAGUAGAAUACAAUCACAUAUUUGCUUUAUGCGUUAUCUUACAUACCGUUGAGUUGCUUGAAAAGAAGACAAAGCGAACCUCAUCCAUUUCAUCCUCGUCAUGAAGUACAUGACACCAAUUUUCACUCACUUUAUAACUCCCCAUCAUUAGGUCGG